UGUGGAAAAGCUAGAGCUAAUACAUGCUAAAAAUCCCGACUUCUGGAAGGGAUGUAUUUAUUAGAUAAAAAAUCAAUGCCUUCGGGCUCUUUGAUGAUUCAUAAUAACUUUUCGAAUCGCAUGGCUUCGUGCCGGCGAUGGUUCAUUCAAAUUUCUGCCCUAUCAACUUUCGAUGGUAGGAUAGUGGCCUACCAUGGUUUCAACGGGUGACGGGGAAUAAGGGUUCGAUUCCGGAGAGGGAGCCUGAGAAACGGCUACCACAUCCAAGGAAGGCAGCAGGCGCGCAAAUUACCCAAUCCUAAUUCAGGGAGGUAGUGACAAUAAAUAACGAUACAGGGCCCAUUGGGUCUUGUAAUUGGAAUGAGUACAAUUUAAAUACCUUAACGAGGAACAAUUGGAGGGCAAGUCUGGUGCCAGCAGCCGCGGUAAUUCCAGCUCCAAUAGCGUAUAUUAAAGUUGUUGCAGUUAAAAAGCUCGUAGUUGAACCUUGGGCUUGGUUGGCCGGUCCGCCUUACGGUGAGUACUGGACCCAACCGAGUCUUUCCUUCUGGGAAACCUUCUGCUCUUUCGGGUAGUUGGGGAACCAGGACUUUUACUUUGAAAAAAUUAGAGUGUUCAAAGCAGGCCUUUGCUCGAAUAUAUAAGCAUGGAAUAAUAGAAUAGGACGUUAUGGUUCUAUUUUGUUGGUUUCUAGGACCAUCGUAAUGAUUAAUAGGGACGGUCGGGGGCAUCAGUAUUCAAUUGUCAGAGGUGAAAUUCUUGGAUUUAUUGAAGACUAACUACUGC
rnacentral:rRNA from 1 species